rnacentral:rRNA from 1 species
UACGUAGGGUGCAAGCGUUGUCCGGAAUUAUUGGGCGUAAAGAGCGCGUAGGCGGCCCGACAAGUCCGCUGUGAAAGUCAGGGGCUCAACCCUUGAAUGCCGGUGGAUACUGUCGGGCUAGAGUCCGGAAGAGGCGAGUGGAAUUCCUGGUGUAGCGGUGAAAUGCGCAGAUAUCAGGAGGAACACCAAUGGCGAAGGCAGGUCUCUGGGCUAUAACUGACGCUCAUGCACGAAAGCGUGGGGAGCAAACAGG